CAGUAGCCGCGGUAACACGAAGGGUGCAAGCGUUACUCGGAAUUACUGGGCGUAAAGCGUGCGUAGGUGGUGGUUUAAGUCCGUUGUGAAAGCCCUGGGCUCAACCUGGGAAUUGCAGUGGAUACUGGAUCACUAGAGUGUGGUAGGGGAUAGUGGAAUUUCCGGUGUAGCAGUGAAAUGCGUAGAGAUCGGAAGGAACAUCUGUGGCGAAGGCGACUAUCUGGGCCAACACUGACACUGAGGCACGAAAGCGUGGGGAGCAAACAGGAUUAGAUACCCCUGUAGUCCCUGUCUCUUAUAC
rnacentral:rRNA from 1 species